GGAGUCGGACGGACCGCCGCCGCGGACCUUCGGUCCGGGGAGGAAAGUCCGGGCUCCACAGGGCAGGACGCUGGAUAACGUCCAGGAGGGGCGACCCUCGGACAGCGCCACAGAAAGCAGACCGCCGCGAACGCGGCAAGGGUGAAACGGUGGGGUAAGAGCCCACCAGAGGCUGCGGUGACGCAGCCUGCUCGGCAUACCCCGUCCGGAGCAAGACCAAGUAGGGAAGGUGGCCGGCCCGGCCAUCGCCUUCCGGGUAGGUCGCUUGAGGGUGCGGGCAACCGCGCCCCUAGAGGAAUGGUGGUCACGUGCACGACACGACAGAACCCGGCUUACAGUCCGACUCCCGCG
rnacentral:RNase_P_RNA from 1 species